GAUGCCGCAGGUGUUUACGGUGGAGGUGUCGCCAUCAAAAACCAUCAGCAAAAACACCACCAAGUCAAUGAUACAAGUACAAGAAGAAGUUUUGCCAUGCAAUAGUCGACCGCUAACGCCCUUUUCGAUCAAUUUCGUAAGUACGUAUCGAAACAGUCAUAUCGUUGCCAACUAGCUUAAUCCUCAUCUUCUAGGUGUAAAGAGUACUACCAGAGACGCAAAAAAAGCAAGAAUACAAUCCAAAAAGUUUCAGCCUUGACUGUAAAUUAAGUGAAUUCAAUUCAAACACUAAGGAUUGCACUGGCUUAACGGUGGCAAUCAUUCGGAGUUAAAGUUUAAGUUUAAGUUAAACAAAUUCGGAUCAGUCUCUCGGCGAGUUGAAUCCAUCGAUUUUCACACAGAAAAUCAACAUCAAAAACAUCGAGAAAAUUCAGCAGCGUCAUGGCCAACUUGCCUAUUAACCAACCCAUCUCUAUUCGCAGUGGAAGUGUUUGUGGAUCAAGCGAUCUCUGCGUGUCAACAAUGCGAACACAAUGUCAUUAGGCCGGAGUACCAACCUGGACCCUUGUAUUGCAAAAGCGCGAGAAGAUCAGUGUAACUGCGAUGCAGCGGCUACUGCAGCCGCUGAGGCUGACACCGCCUGGAAGAGGUAGGUGAUACGAAUGCCGGUUGAGAAGGAAAUUGUUGGUAGAGUAUAGUACCUCCUCAAUGACGGGAGUCGCAAGUCAUUGCAGUUUUGUAUUUACUACUUUAGAAAUCCCUGCAAUUUUAAGAAACUUGAAGACUAACGAAAUGAAGCUGAAUUCCAUGUUUAGAAUCAACUGGAAACGACACAAGAAUGCCCCUACAAACUGCGCUUAUGAUGUUCCAAGAGUUGCUGCGCAAAUGGUCGCGAGCCGGCAACCUUCAUAUAGUGAAAAUAUCGGAUUGGAAUUUGUCAACCCAAACGACUACUUCACACUACGAAUCAAAGCGAAGCUAAGAAGUCGAUAUGCCGUUCAGUUGGUUCGACGAUAUCUUCGAAUCUCAUCCAUGAUACGUCGUUGCGUAUCUAGUUUUUAAAUUAAGCUAUAUUUUUUUCAAAAUUGUUUGUAAUUGAGUAUAUUUUUUGUUUUUAAAAUUCAAUUCCAUUAUAGAUUAUAGUUUUUAUUUAAAAUGUAUAUUACAGCUAGGUUCCUAAAUUUAUUUCUAUGUAUAUCUAGAAAAUAAUCUUUUUUUGCAAACAACUUGUUUAUUUAUUUUGAGCUAUAGUGUAAUUUUGUAUAUAUUGUAUAUUCUACUGUUUCUUUGCUGACUAGGAUUAUUUUUAUUCAAAAUUAUUUAUAAUUUGCUUUACUUUAAUAAUAAAGGAAUUUGUUUUGAAUUCAAAGAUGUUGGUGCUUUUUGCUUCAGGGGUUGAAUUCGGUUGAAUCAAGUGAAUUUUGAAGAAUAUACAAAUGGUAAUGUACAAAUUUUAAAUAGUUCGUUUGAGAUAAUUUUUGAUGCUGAUUACGAAUCUAAACUUCGAUUUUAGCUACAUGUGCUCAAACUGAAGAACACCAUUUCUCAACAUUAUUUU